GACGAACCGUGCGAACGUUGUUCGGAAUCACUGGGCUUAAAGGGCGCGUAGGCGGGCUGUCAAGUCUGGGGUGAAAUGCCGCGGCUCAACCGUGGAACUGCCUUAGAUACUGACGGCCUCGAGGAAGGUAGGGGCAUGCGGAACUGUAGGUGGAGCGGUGAAAUGCGUUGAUAUCUACAGGAACUCCGGUGGCGAAAGCGGCGUGCUGGACCUUUUCUGGCGCUGAGGCACGAAAGCUAGGGGAGCAAACGGG
rnacentral:rRNA from 1 species